rnacentral:rRNA from 1 species
GAGCUUGCUUUCUCGAGCGAGUGGCGAACGGGUGAGUAACGCGUGAGGAACCUGCCUCAAAGAGGGGGACAACAGUUGGAAACGACUGCUAAUACCGCAUAAGCCCACGGCUCGGCAUCGAGCAGAGGGAAAAGGAGCAAUCCGCUUUGAGAUGGCCUCGCGUCCGAUUAGCUAGUUGGUGAGGUAAUGGCCCACCAAGGCGACGAUCGGUAGCCGGACUGAGAGGUUGAACGGCCACAUUGGGACUGAGACACGGCCCAGACUCCUACGGGAGGCAGCAGUGGGGAAUAUUGCACAAUGGGGGAAACCCUGAUGCAGCGACGCCGCGUGGAGGAAGAAGGUCUUCGGAUUGUAAACUCCUGUUGUUGGGGAAGAUAAUGACGGUACCCAACAAGGAAGUGACGGCUAACUACGUGCCAGCAGCCGCGGUAAAACGUAGGUCACAAGCGUUGUCCGGAAUUACUGGGUGUAAAGGGAGCGCAGGCGGGAAGACAAGUUGGAAGUGAAAUCUAUGGGCUCAACCCAUAAACUGCUUUCAAAACUGUUUUUCUUGAGUAGUGCAGAGGUAGGCGGAAUUCCCGGUGUAGCGGUGGAAUGCGUAGAUAUCGGGAGGAACACCAGUGGCGAAGGCGGCCUACUGGGCACCAACUGACGCUGAGGCUCGAAAGUGUGGGUAGCAAACAGGAUUAGAUACCCUGGUAGUCCACACCGUAAACGAUGAUUACUAGGUGUUGGAGGAUUGACCCCUUCAGUGCCGCAGUUAACACAAUAAGUAAUCCACCUGGGGAGUACGACCGCAAGGUU